rnacentral:tRNA from 1 species
GCCCCUGUAGUCUAAUGGAUAGAAUGGGGGUUUCCUAAAACCCAGAUGAAGGUUCGAUUCCUUCCAGGGGCC